rnacentral:rRNA from 1 species
UUAAGCGACUAAGCGUACACGGUGGAUGCCCUGGCAGUCAGAGGCGAUGAAGGACGUGCUAAUCUGCGAAAAGCGCCGGCGAGGUGAUAUGAACCUUUGACCCGGCGAUGUCCGAAUGGGGAAACCCAGUGUGAUUCGUCACACUAUCGUUAACUGAAUACAUAGGUUAACGAGGCGAACCGGGGGAACUGAAACAUCUAAGUACCCGAGGAAAAGAAAUCAACCGAGAUUCCCCCAGUAGCGGCGAGCGAACGGGGAGCAGCCCAGAGUCUGAAUCAGCGUGUGUGUUAGUGGAACGGUCUGGAAAGUCCGGCGAUACAGGGUGACAGCCCCGUACACGAAAGCACACAUGCUGUGAACUCGAAGAGUAGGGCGGGACACGUGGUAUCCUGUCUGAAUAUGGGGGGACCAUCCUCCAAGGCUAAAUACUCCUGACUGACCGAUAGUGAACCAGUACCGUGAGGGAAAGGCGAAAAGAACCCCGGCGAGGGGAGUGAAAAAGAACCUGAAACCGUGUACGUACAAGCAGUGGGAGCACCCUUCGGGGUGUGACUGCGUACCUUUUUGUAUAAUGGGUCAGCGACUUAUAUUCUGUAGCAAGGUUAACCGAAUAGGGGAGCCGAAGGGAAACCGAGUCUUAACUGGGCGUUAAGUUGCAGGGUAUAGACCCGAAACCCGGUGAUCUAGCCAUGGGCAGGUUGAAGGUUGGGUAACACUAACUGGAGGACCGAACCGACUAAUGUUGAAAAAUUAGCGGAUGACCUGUGGCUGGGGGUGAAAGGCCAAUCAAACCGGGAGAUAGCUGGUUCUCCCCGAAAGCUAUUUAGGUAGCGCCUCGUGAACUCAUCUUCGGGGUAGAGCACUGUUUCGGCUAGGGGGUCAUCCCGACUUACCAACCCGAUGCAAACUGCGAAUACCGAAGAAUGUUAUCACGGGAGACACACGGCGGGUGCUAACGUCCGUCGUGAAGAGGGAAACAACCCAGACCGCCAGCUAAGGUCCCAAAGUCAUGGUUAAGUGGGAAACGAUGUGGGAAGGCCCAGACAGCCAGGAUGUUGGCUUAGAAGCAGCCAUCAUUUAAAGAAAGCGUAAUAGCUCACUGGUCGAGUCGGCCUGCGCGGAAGAUGUAACGGGGCUAAACCAUGCACCGAAGCUGCGGCAGCGACGCUUAUGCGUUGUUGGGUAGGGGAGCGUUCUGUAAGCCGUCGAAGGUGUGCUGUGAGGCAUGCUGGAGGUAUCAGAAGUGCGAAUGCUGACAUAAGUAACGAUAAAGCGGGUGAAAAGCCCGCUCGCCGGAAGACCAAGGGUUCCUGUCCAACGUUAAUCGGGGCAGGGUGAGUCGACCCCUAAGGCGAGGCCGAAAGGCGUAGUCGAUGGGAAACAGGUUAAUAUUCCUGUACUUGGUGUUACUGCGAAGGGGGGACGGAGAAGGCUAUGUUAGCCGGGCGACGGUUGUCCCGGUUUAAGCAUGUAGGCGGAGGUUCCAGGUAAAUCCGGUACCUUUUAACGCUGAGGUGUGAUGACGAGGCACUACGGUGCUGAAGUAACAAAUGCCCUGCUUCCAGGAAAAGCCUCUAAGCAUCAGGUAACACGAAAUCGUACCCCAAACCGACACAGGUGGUCAGGUAGAGAAUACCAAGGCGCUUGAGAGAACUCGGGUGAAGGAACUAGGCAAAAUGGUGCCGUAACUUCGGGAGAAGGCACGCUGACAUGUAGGUGAAGCCCCUGCGGGUGGAGCUGAAGUCAGUCGAAGAUACCAGCUGGCUGCAACUGUUUAUUAAAAACACAGCACUGUGCAAACACGAAAGUGGACGUAUACGGUGUGACGCCUGCCCGGUGCCGGAAGGUUAAUUGAUGGGGUUAUCCUUAGGGAGAAGCUCUUGAUCGAAGCCCCGGUAAACGGCGGCCGUAACUAUAACGGUCCUAAGGUAGCGAAAUUCCUUGUCGGGUAAGUUCCGACCUGCACGAAUGGCGUAAUGAUGGCCAGGCUGUCUCCACCCGAGACUCAGUGAAAUUGAACUCGCUGUGAAGAUGCAGUGUACCCGCGGCAAGACGGAAAGACCCCGUGAACCUUUACUAUAGCUUGACACUGAACAUUGAGCCUUGAUGUGUAGGAUAGGUGGGAGGCUUUGAAGCGUGGACGCCAGUCUGCGUGGAGCCAACCUUGAAAUACCACCCUUUAAUGUUUGAUGUUCUAACCUGGCGCCGUAAUCCGGCGUGGGGACAGUGUCUGGUGGGUAGUUUGACUGGGGCGGUCUCCUCCUAAAGAGUAACGGAGGAGCACGAAGGUUGGCUAAUCCUGGUCGGACAUCAGGAGGUUAGUGCAAUGGCAUAAGCCAGCUUGACUGCGAGCGUGACGGCGCGAGCAGGUGCGAAAGCAGGUCAUAGUGAUCCGGUGGUUCUGAAUGGAAGGGCCAUCGCUCAACGGAUAAAAGGUACUCCGGGGAUAACAGGCUGAUACCGCCCAAGAGUUCAUAUCGACGGCGGUGUUUGGCACCUCGAUGUCGGCUCAUCACAUCCUGGGGCUGAAGUAGGUCCCAAGGGUAUGGCUGUUCGCCAUUUAAAGUGGUACGCGAGCUGGGUUUAGAACGUCGUGAGACAGUUCGGUCCCUAUCUGCCGUGGGCGCUGGAGAAUUGAGGGGGGCUGCUCCUAGUACGAGAGGACCGGAGUGGACGCAUCACUGGUGUUCGGGUUGUCAUGCCAAUGGCAUUGCCCGGUAGCUACAUGCGGAAGAGAUAAGUGCUGAAAGCAUCUAAGCACGAAACUUGCCCCGAGAUGAGUUCUCCCUGAGACCCAGAGUCUCCUGAAGGAACGUUAAAGACUAUGACGUUGAUAGGCCGGGUGUGUAAGCGCAGCGAUGCGUUGAGCUAACCGGUACUAAUGAACCGUGAGGCUUAACCUU